rnacentral:ncRNA from 2 species
AUGAAGAUAUGAGGAGAGAUUUCAUUUUAAUGAAACACCGAAGAAGUAAAUCUUUCAGGUAAAAGGACUCAUAUUGGACG